rnacentral:lncRNA from 1 species
CCCCCUCCCGGACAGUCCCACUCUCAGUCCCGACACAGAGUCGCACAGCCCUGCACCGCCUUGCCCGCCUCAUCCCCUGCUCAUCCUCCCCGCAGCACCUGCCACCUUCUAAGACCAGCCCCGCCCCGUUCAAGUGUCAGCUCCUGGAGGCUGGAUGCUGCCCGUUUUGUCUGGGGCACAGCAUGUCCCUGUGAAGGGCUGUCAGCCGCUGAGAGAGUCUCAUCGUUGGGCACACUUUGCUUGGUUGGGGUCCUGCUGCAGACUGGGCGCUGCUCUCCCCACCCGUCCCCUCAGGCUCCUGCUGAUCCACCACUGGCACCUGAGCGUGCCCCAUAUUCACCCAGGGGGUCACCAGGUCUGACGGGCUCUUUGUCUCUCCGCACCGCGUCUCUCCUCUCCAUCCACUGCCCCUUUCACCCUUCACGCUGUUGGCAACAUCAUUUUUCUAACAGCAAAUCGGAGGCUCCUGCCCCGUGCAGGGCAGCCACAGGCUCUCACAGGACAGGAUGCCACCUCCAACAUCUGGGUGCUGCCUUUCCCCCCUCCUCCCAGCGCCCCUCCUCCGCCCCGCCCCAGCCCCCUCACCUGCCAGAGACCCUCCCAGGCUCCAGCGGCAGCUUUGGUGACUUGGAGUCCUGGGAGGCAGUGGGCCACAGCUCACUCUGCCUGGAAUGCUCGUCCCUUGGGCCAGUCCGUGUUGGCCUUCCAGGUGGGGCGCUCACGGGCACCCCUAACUCCCACCAGGCCAGCCUUGCUGCAGUGUCACAGAGAGCUGUCCGUCUGUUGGGCUUCCUCCCAGACUGUGCCUUUUUUGUGUCCCCAGGCUUGGCUUGGGGGAGGCUGGGAUGGCAGGUGACAAUGCAGGAACAAAGGGGAGGGACCUGCUUUGUGGGGAAAUCCUGUCAGGACAGGGAUUUCCACGCUGGGAGGCACUGCUGGGGAGCAAAUCAGUUAUUAGAAGAGAAAGGAGCCAGAGGCUAUGGACUUGGUUGGAAUUUGAGAGCAAACACAGACACUUGA